rnacentral:rRNA from 1 species
GUCCCAGCUGUAAAUGAUGCUGACUGAGGUGUUGCCCGUGAGUAAUCACGUGCAGUGCUGUAGCGUAGGUGUUAAGUCAGCCGCCUGGGGAGUACGAUCGCAAGAUUUAAACUUAAAGGAAUUGGCGGGGGAGCACCACAAGCCGUGGAUGCUACGGUUUAAUUGGAUACAACGCCGGAAAUAUCACCAGAAGCGACGGCAGUAUGAAGGCCAGACUAAAGAUCUUGCCUGACGAGCCGAGAGGUAUUGCAUGGCCAUCGU